CCUACGGGAGGCUGCAGUGGGGAAUAUUGGACAAUGGGGGGAACCCUGAUCCAGCCAUGCCGCGUGUGUGAAGAAGGCCCUCGGGUUGUAAAGCACUUUCAGUGAGGAAGAACGCCUGGUGGUUAAUACCCAUCAGGAAAGACAUCACUCACAGAAGAAGCACCGGCUAACUCCGUGCCAGCAGCCGCGGUAAUACGGAGGGUGCGAGCGUUAAUCGGAAUUACUGGGCGUAAAGCGCGCGUAGGUGGCUUGAUAAGCCGGUUGUGAAAGCCCCGGGCUCAACCUGGGAACGGCAUCCGGAACUGUCAAGCUAGAGUGCAGGAGAGGAAGGUAGAAUUCCCGGUGUAGCGGUGAAAUGCGUAGAGAUCGGGAGGAAUACCAGUGGCGAAGGCGACCUUCUGGACUGACACUGACACUGAGGUGCGAAAGCGUGGGUAGCAAACAGGAUUAGAUACCCCAGUAGUC
rnacentral:rRNA from 1 species